rnacentral:rRNA from 1 species
UGCGGAGGGAUCAUUGCUGGAACGCGCCCCAGGCGCACCCAGAAACCCUUUGUGAACUUAUACCUUACUGUUGCCUCGGCGCUAGCUGGUCCUCCGGGGCCCCUCACCCCCGGGUGUUGAGACAGCCCGCCGGCGGCCAACCUAACUCUUGUUUUUACACUGAAACUCUGAGAAUAAAACAUAAAUGAAUCAAAACUUUCAACAACGGAUCUCUUGGUUCUGGCAUCGAUGAAGAACGCAGCGAAAUGCGAUAAGUAAUGUGAAUUGCAGAAUUCAGUGAAUCAUCGAAUCUUUGAACGCACAUUGCGCCCUCUGGUAUUCCGGAGGGCAUGCCUGUUCGAGCGUCAUUUCAACCCUCAAGCCUGGCUUGGUGAUGGGGCACUGCUUCUUACCCGAGAAGCAGGCCCUGAAAUUCAGUGGCGAGCUCGCCAGGACCCCGAGCGCAGUAGUUAAACCCUCGCUCUGGAAGGCCCUGGCGGUGCCCUGCCGUUAAACCCCCAACUUCUGAAAAUUUGACCUCGGAUCAG